AGCACGAUACUCCAGAGGUCAAACAGGGUCAUUACAAGACGCUGAGAAAAUCAUCAUUUAUUGCCAUGGCAACUCGUUUCAUCGUGGUUUCAAGCAUCGAAGAGAUUUAUAUUCAGAGCUGCAGAAACCAGGAUUCCACAUCAUAGCUUUUGACUACAGUGGGUUUGCGGACUCUACCGGUCAGCCAAGUCCAACAAGAGUCGUGGAGGAUGCAAUUAGCGUGUAUAAGUGGACGGUCAAGCAGAAUCGACAUUCAUCUCGGUGAGACUUUGUACUAGAAGACGACCUCUGACCCCACGACAAAAUCUCCUUACAUUCGCUUCAUUCGAAUGCACGAGGAUUACAGAGUGGAGCACUAUACUGCUAAGCAUCCUGAGAUAAGGCAGUUAGUGCAUGAUUUCAUGGUUGAAGUAGCAAAGGUCAAAGGUGAUCAGGAACAAGGAAGUAAAAAUAGAUUUGAAUUGAUCGAUAUUUAAUUUUUCUUUUUUUGCUGUUUAAUUAGGCAAUGAAUGUAAUUGCUUUGGUCGAGUAGCAAAGAUCAAAGGUUAUCAGGAACAAAACUGAUUAAUAAUUUAAUUUUUUCAUUAUUAACCUUUAAUUAGACAAUUAGAGCUAAAUUGAACUUGCAUUCCUGGAAUUUAGGUAAACUCCCAGCAUUGAUUUCUUCUAAAUCACUUAGAAUAGGGGUGGGCAAACUGCGGCAACACGAGCCAGUUACGGCUAACCGAAGUGUUUUAUCCGGCCCACUUGUGCCUAUAUCAAUUAUGACUAUGGUUUUCAUGGCUAUAAAUUUUCGUUGGAUAUUUCAAUGAAAAUAACGAAUCAUCGCCUAAAAUAUAGAUCAUGUAUUAUUUGCACCUGAAUAUAAUUGUGCCACUUGGUACACUGACUGUUUGUUGAACAUCAGCUGUUAUGCUUGUUAUUUGCAAAUGAACUGAAUUUGUAAUAGAACUAAAAUAAGGAAAAUUCGAAUAAAAUAAUGGCCUAACCCUAACCUGGUACACAUACUACGAUCCGGUGACCGCCAUUUUGGUUCACAUACUUCGGGAGUACCUUAUUUUCCUGUGAAGUUACAAAGGACAUCUACUGUUAACGCCAAGCAUUAUAAUCGUUCAUUCAACUCUUCCCAAACUUCAAGCUGUGUUUUUAGAAAUUUUUUAAGUUUAUUUCUAUAAUUAAAAGUAUUCCAACAUAACUUUAUUAAUUGAUUGUAGUUUAUAUUCUCAUUCUUAACUGUGUAUUUAUUACUCAAGAUGCCAAUGAUCAGAAUUAGCAAGUCACAAAUAUGCUCGAAAUAGAGUCGAAUCACUCAACCAAAGUAGGAAGAGUUCUGAUAGAAGAGUUGCAAGUUUGCUCAAAUCAAUGUCCCAAACUCUCAACUAAAAGCAGGAAUAGCACUGAUAAAAGAGUCCCUGUCAAAAAUAUGUCUGUAGAUAGCGGUUCAUGUGUAACUUGAAACAAUAUAUCGCAGUACUAUCAGAAAAUAUAUAUUGCCAUAUUUCAAUUACUGCCUUGUUGCCACAUUUCAAUAUUCUUUUUUUAAUAUUGUGUCAAAUUUGUGGGCUUCGUAAAUAAUAUUCCAACUCUUCACCCCAUAACGUCAAAAGUUUUGAGAACCCCUGGUUUAACAUAUUGCUCUUUGUGCAACAGAAGUCGUUUUUAACUCUUUUAUCAGCACCUUGCUUUGAGCACACUUGUAUAGAAUUAAUAAAAUCUUCUAUUUUCAUGGUCAAAUAUGAAGUAUCAUUCACAGUUAUGCUAUACUAAACUUUCCGAAAAAACAAAUAUUCAUGUCUUAGCGAUCAUGGUCAACUUCGUUUACACGUCUUUCAAAUCAAGUCAAACGAUUGUCAAUGACCCUGGCUUUGAUCACGAGAAACCGUUGACUUGGAUGCUAAGUGUUAUUAAAUAUUUUUUACUUCUGAGUGAGUGCCUCACAUUUGCUCAGAGAUGAGAUGAGUUUUCUUUACGUUACGAGUGAGUGCCCGUAACUUUGCCCAGAGAUCAGUCUUUUUUACUUCUGAAUGAGUGCCAGUAACUUCGCUCAGAGAUGAGUAUCUUUUACUAGUGAGUGCCCGUAACUUUGUUAGGAGAUGAGUCUUCGUUACUUAUGAGUGAAUGUUCGUAACUUUGUUCUGUUCCGAGAUGAGUCUCCCUUGGAGUUGACGUAUAUAACCUUCUUUGAGCAAAUUCACUUAAUAAAUGAUAGGCUGUGCUUUUAUGUACUAUUGAGCAAAUUUAUUUUAAUUUUAAGAUGUAUAUUCCCCUAUGCACUGUAUAUAUAUGUUUAAAUAUGCAAUUAUUUUAUCAGAUUUGAAUUUUUUCAUAACUAUGCUACCUCAAUGCAUUUAACCCACUGAGACGAAUAAACUUCACAAUA